AUCUAUGGCCGUACCACUCUGAACGUGCCCAAUCUUAUCUCAUCCCAUGAAGCUAAGCAGGGUUGGCCCUGAUUCGUGCUUAGAUGGGAGAUCAGAGAGGUAAGAUGAUGCAAUGGUGU
rnacentral:rRNA from 1 species